UACGUAGGGGGCAAGCGUUGUCCGGAAUCAUUGGGCGUAAAGCGCGUGUAGGCGGUUCGGUAAGUCCGCUGUGAAAGUCGGGGGCUCAACCCUCGAAAGCCGGUGGAUACUGUCGGGCUAGAGUACGGAAGAGGCGAGUGGAAUUCCUGGUGUAGCGGUGAAAUGCGCAGAUAUCAGGAGGAACACCAAUUGCGAAGGCAGCUCGCUGGGACGUUACUGACGCUGAGGAGCGAAAGCCAGGGGAGCAAACGGG
rnacentral:rRNA from 1 species